rnacentral:rRNA from 1 species
CCUACGGGAGGCAGCAGUGAGGACUAUUGGUCAAUGGACGAGAGUCUGAACCAGCCAAGUCGCGUGAAGGAUGACUGCCCUAUGGGUUGUAAACUUCUUUUAUAUGGGAAUAAAAUGUUCCACGUGUGGGAUUUUGUAUGUACCAUAUGAAUAAGGAUCGGCUAACUCCGUGCCAGCAGCCGCGGUAAUACGGAGGAUCCGAGCGUUAUCCGGAUUUAUUGGGUUUAAAGGGAGCGUAGGUGGAUUGUUAAGUCAGUUGUGAAAGGUUGGGGCUCAACCGUAAAAUUGCAGUUGAAACUGGCAGUCUUGAGUACAGUAGAGGUGGGCGGAAGUCGUGGUGUAGCGGUGAAAUGCUUAGAUAUCACGAAGAACGCCGAUGGCGAAGGCAGCUCACUGGACUGCAACUGACACUGAGGCUCGAAAGUGUGGGUAUCAAACAGGAUUAGAUACCCCUGUAGUC